rnacentral:misc_RNA from 1 species
GUGAUCAAAGCAUCACCAAUGGAAAAGCCUGUAUUACUAAAGCUCCAAGCCAAUAUCCUAUGGCUUUGAACCAAUUGCCCUGUAGCUGCACAGAAUCCCACAUACAUUUCAUCCANNNNNNNCCCAGAAAGAUUAAGAAACUCACUUAUCAAAGGUCUCCUAGGCUUUUCUGCCCCUGCCUUGGCCAUUGUUACAUUAAUCAUUGAAUCCAUGUAAUCAAUCCAAACUUGG